CUGGAGGAAACCCAUACAGUCAUGCAGGGAGAACGUGCAAACUCUAUACAGACAGCACCCGAGGUCAGGAUCGAACCUGGGUCUCUGGUGCUUUGAGGCAAGAGCUCUACCAGCUGUUCCACUGGCUUGAAUUGUCAGCGAGUUUGAAUAUUUUGCACAUGGUCCUCUCAUUGAUAAACAUGCAACAUGACACAAGCCUGAUCACUGAUCCUAGUGGCACUCCACUAGUUACAGCUUGCCAACCUAUGAAUGGCCCAUUUAAUCCUCAACUCUGUUCUAGUCAUUAAUUAAACCUCAGUCCAUACUCAUAUAUAAACACCAGUCAUAUGACUACAAAUUUCUGUAUUACAAUUUCUUGUAUUAAUUAAUUUGUUUUUGAAGAUCCAAACACACUGCUUCCAUUAGUUCCCCUAAUUAACUUUGCUCGUUAAAUUCUCGAAAAAACAGCUGAAUGAAAACAUGAUUUCCAUUUUAUAAAUCCAUGUUAGCUCUUGUGAAUUGUAUUAUCAAUUUUCCAACCAUGUUACUAAUGAAAUCUUCGAUCAUCUUCCCACUGCAGAUGUUUUCCUAACCAGCCUGUGGCACCCGAUAUCCUUGCAGCUCUUUGUGUGAAUGUCAUAGGUAUCACUGACAGUACAGCACUCUUUAAAUGCAUAAUUACAAUGUCAAUCUAGAUUAUGGGCACAUGUCUCUGGAUUCCAGAACCUACAUUUACAAUCUUCCUAUUCAGUGUUGUAAGUGCUGUAAAGAUUCGGUAUGCUGACUUUGGAUUAUGUGUUAAACAAAAUCUUGCCCACCUUCUC